CUCUUUAGAUAGUAGCAACAGUUCCUGACAUCUGGAUAAUAUUUCACAUGAGACAAAACACUACCAUGGAGCAUCUUAUUUCAUCCCAAGCAGCCUCCUUUUGGGGACGAAGUAGCUCCUGCUCAGAGAACCAGCCUGACUUGCCCAAGGAUACGCAGAGUGAAUGGGAGAGUCAGAAGACAGACCUAGGCCAGAUCAUCCCAAGGUUGUUCUUCCUGACCUGUGAAUCCAGGACCCCAGUCUAACGCCUACACUUAUGCAGCCCGGAGGGGCCAACCCCUGCUCAGCCAGGAGCACGCUGACUCCUGAUUGUGGAAAGUUUGCCUGUGUCUGAAUGCAAGCAGAUGUCCCCAGCUGCUGAAUCGUGCGGCCAUGUGAAACCAAUCACCCACUCCGCACAAACAUGCUUUGUCAGGCCAAAGUCUGAAGAUGCAACCAACUCAUCCUGCUUCUCAUAAAGCAGGGGGCGUGGAAAUAGAGAAAUGAGCGUCCCGAAGCGUCCCGUGUGGCAAGCUGGGCCCUGGUAAAAGUGAGGCCUGGCGUUUACCUCUGGAUUUGAAUGUUCCCAAGAAUGACGUUUCAAGAAGUAUCUUCCUAUCCUGGAUUUAGGGGGAGGUCCUCCAGCCGUGCAGAGGCUACAGGAAGAAAGAGGUUAAAAAAGAAGAGAAGAUGUCCUACAUCGGACUCUUGUGCCUCCGAGGCAGGAACCUGCUGUUGGAUUCUCGGAUGCCCUGGAGUCCUGGUUGGUGGCUGAAGCUGAGAGAAGGUCGGCACUCUCACAAACUAACUCGGAUACUGCCUGACUCUGGGCCUCUCUGACAGGCAACGUGCCUUAACUCUG